rnacentral:rRNA from 1 species
UGAGGAACAUGACCUUCGGCGGGGGAUAGCCGGCCCAACGGCCGGGUAAUACCGCGUACGACCACUUUGAGACAUCCCUCGGUGGUGAAAGCAGCAAUGCGCCGAUGGAGUGCCUCGCGGCCUAUCAGCUAGUUGGUGAGGUAACGGCUCACCAAGGCGACGGACGGGUAGCUGGUCUGAGAGGAUGGCCAGCCACAUUGGGACUGAGACACGGCCCAGCCUCCGUAGGAG